GGUGUGGCCUAGUUGGUUAGGGCGCAAGAUUGUGGCUCUUGAGGUCGUCGGUUCGAAUCCGAUCAC
rnacentral:tRNA from 1 species